rnacentral:lncRNA from 1 species
GCCUUGCUUUCCGAGGGCGGCGUGCAGCCACAGUGCCCGCUGCGGGUGCUGGGGAAUGGCGCCUUACAGGCUGCCCACCUGCCUCCUCAGGGUGGAAGGCGGGGCUUGGGUGUGAGCGUGCUGAAUCAGAACUUUCCUGGAAAGUCGCCACUUGGUGUGGUCAGAGGAUCACUGAAGUAAGCGCUACACACAAAUCACCCCCAAAGUCGUGUUUUAAAUGCACCUGUAUUUGCUUAAACGAAAAUGUCAGAAGUAUUUGUCCUACAAGCAGUCUGAGUGGUUUGUCCCGCAGCUGGUCUGGUGACGCUGGCCCUCGCGGAUGUCUGCGUGUCGCUCACAUGUGAAUGAGUGAGCAACUGCACAGAGCCUGUGCUUAAGAUGGCAGGAUCGCAAGACAGAGCAACUGGAGCAAGUCCUCAUUAAGAAGAGCCGCCCGAUGCAUUUGGACUGCGAUGUGUUACGCCCAUGAGAUUUCAGGGUUAAUUUGUUACCUGGCCGUGGCCUAUCCUCUUCCAGCAGAUACAGAGGCUACUGCAGUUUGCAACUUUGCAGAUACCAGCAGAGGAAGAAAAACCUGGGAGACUGCUGCUAACCUAAUGUGGAGACUUGACUUAAACUUCAGCCAGACAAAGGCGGAAUCUUAAUAUGGAGGGGCCUGGCUCUGCAGGGAGGUCACCUGGGCUGGCUGGAUUUCAAUCCAGUUACACAGCAAAAAAGUUACAACCCAAGCUUUGGCGAUGCUGAGCCUUCUACUCUCAGGGAUUCCAAAGCAUUUGAUAAACUCUUUCUUUGUUCCAUUGUUUACUGACUUCCUAGUGCUUGUCUUGUUCUGCAGUUAUUUAUUUAUUUUUAUUUAUUAGUUUUUACUUAUGAUCUACCCCUCUCUCCCAUCUCCCCGCAACCUGAAGGUAAGGUGCAGGAAGUUAUGGCCUUUGCUUUGUAUGCCAUUACAUUCCCCCUCCCCAGGGAAGGGGUUAGCAUGAUGGUAGGAACUGUUCCCUCUUGGUGACAGAUAAGUGACUGGAGCAGAAUCCACUUCUGCUGAGAAGCUCUGGAUGACCACGGAUAAGCAGGAAGGCAUGUGACAUAUUGGCAAGUGAGUCAGACAGAAAGAGAGACGUGGGAUCGAGUCCUGGCAUUGCCCUUUCUAGCUAUUGUGUCCUUGGACAGGUAAUUUAGCUUCCCUGAGUCUGUUUUCUCAUCUGAAAAAUGAAGAUAGUAAUAAUUAUCCUCGUGGGGCUAUUGAAAAAGUUAAAAUAAUACAAGCAAAGCAUUUAACAUAGG